AGAUUGAACGCUGGCGGCAUGCCUUACACAUGCAAGUCGAACGGCAGCACGGGAGCAAUCCUGGUGGCGAGUGGCGAAACGGGUGAGUAAUAUAUCGGAACGUGCCCAGUCGUGGGGGAUAACGCAGCGAAAGCUGUGCUAAUACCGCAUACGAUCUAUGGAUGAAAGGCGGGGGAUCGCAAGCCUCGCGCGAUUGGGACGCGGCCGUAUAUCAGAUUAGGUAGGUUGGGUAGGGGUAAAGGCUACAACCAAGUCCUUCGAUUCC
rnacentral:rRNA from 1 species